UACGUAGGCAGCGAGCGUUGUUCGGAAUUACUGGGCGUAAAGAGUGUGUAGGCGGUGCUCCCAGUCUGUUGUGAAAUCUCCCGGCUUAACUGGGAGGGUGCAGCGGAAACUAGAGUGCUAGAGGGUGGGAGAGGUAAGCGGAAUUCCUGGUGUAGCGGUGAAAUGCGUAGAUAUCAGGAGGAACACCUGUGGUGUAGACAGCUUACUGGACCACUUCUGACGCUGAGACACGAAAGCUAGGGUAGCGAACGGG
rnacentral:rRNA from 1 species